rnacentral:rRNA from 1 species
AGUCGCGCGAGAAAGCCCCUUCGGGGGUAAGUAAAGCGGCGGACGGGUGAGUAACGCGUGGACAACCUACCCCGGGGUUGGGGAUAACCCUGCGAAAGCGGGGCUAAUACCGAAUACGCUGCUUUUUUCCUGGGUGAUUUGUUUCGCCGAGGGAGAAAGCGGGAAAGGUGGCCUCUGGAUCAAGCUACCGCCCCGGGAUGGGUUCGCGUCCCAUUAGCUUGUUGGUGGGGUAAAGGCCCACCAAGGCGACGAUGGGUAGCCGGCCUGAGAGGGUGAUCGGCCACACUGGGACUGGAACACGGCCCAGACUCCUACGGGAGGCAGCAGUGGGGAAUCUUGGGCAAUGGGCGCAAGCCUGACCCAGCGACGCCGCGUGUGAGAAGAAGGCCCUCGGGUCGUAAACCACUGUCAGGAGGGAAGAAAAGCAGUUUCCGAACAGGGGGCUGUAUUGACGGUACCUCCACAGGAAGCACCGGCCAACUCCGUGCCAGCAGCCGCGGUAAUACGGAGGGUGCAAGCGUUAUUCGGAAUCACUGGGCGUAAAGCGCGCGUAGGCGGCAGCGCAAGUCAGAUGUGAAAGCCCUCGGCUAAACCGGGGAAUUGCAUCUGAAACUGCGUAGCUAGAGUUCGGGAGAGGGCGGCGGAACUCCCGGUGUAGGGGUGAAAUCCGUAGAUAUCGGGAGGAACACCAGAGGCGAAGGCGGCCGCCUGGACCGAAACUGACGCUGAGGCGCGAAAGCGUGGGUAGCAAACAGGAUUAGAUACCCUGGUAGUCCACGCCGUAAACAUUGGGCGCUAGAUGCUGGGGGCGUUAGAGCCUUCGGUGUCGUAGCUAACGCGUUAAGCGCCCCGCCU